CAGCUGCGAGAUUUGGUGUGAAUUGCAGGACACAUUGAGCACUAACUUUUCGAACGCGCAUUGCGGCCUCGGGUUCUGCCCGGGGCCUCGCCUGUCUGAGGGUCGGAUAAGACUUGCCCAGGAAGCCUCGGCUUUCAAUUGGCCGCACCGAAGACUUUCGAGUCUUCGCCGGCUCAAGUUCUCUCGAAAGGAUCCUCGCCGGUCGAAGAAGCGUUGCCGUCGCGCACGUCCGUCGGCCGGAGAAGACGAGCUUUUUUCUCCGCAUGAGACGGACCGACGCUCCACGCAGAGAACGAUCGGCGGUUCCUUCGGAUGUCCUUUUUGGACUCCGACCAAUAUCCUUUUUAUGUCGACCUCAGAUCAGACGAGAUGACCCGCUGAAUUUAA
rnacentral:rRNA from 1 species